UACGUAGGGUGCAAGCGUUGUCCGGAAUUAUUGGGCGUAAAGAGCUCGUAGGCGGUUUGUCGCGUCUGCUGUGAAAACCCGAGGCUCAACCUCGGGCCUGCAGUGGGUACGGGCAGACUAGAGUGCGGUAGGGGAGAUUGGAAUUCCUGGUGUAGCGGUGGAAUGCGCAGAUAUCAGGAGGAACACCAGUGGCGAAGGCGGCUCGCUGGGCCGGACCUGACGCUGAGACGCGAAGGCGUGGGGAGCGAACGGG
rnacentral:rRNA from 1 species